rnacentral:rRNA from 1 species
GCAAACUGAUGGGCGGUAGAGGCGGUAGGGCGGAGGGGGCGAGGGGUGUUCGGGAUGACUGGGCGUAAAGGGAGUGGGGGCGUGCGCGUAAGGCCGUAGUGAAAGCGCCCGGCGUAACUGGGCGGGGGCAAUGGAUACUGGGCGUCUUGAGUGUGGUAGGGGGGACUGGAAUUCCCGGUGGAGCGGUGAAAUGCGUAGAUAUCGGGAGGAACACCUAUGGCGAAAGCAGGUCCCUGGGCCAUUACUGACGCUAAGACUCGAAAGCUAGGGGAGUAAACAGGAUUAGAUACCCUGGUAGUC